ACUAUCUUGUGUCCCGUCGGUUCUGGUGGGUUGCUCCCCACCGGAUUGAAAGGGAAGCCGGUGACGCCUUGGAUGGCCAUUCCGGCACUGCCCCGCAGCGGUAAUUGGGAACGAUCCCGCCACCAAGCACUGAGGCCCGAUGCCUUGGGAAGCGGCGGAGUAGGAGGAGGCCCCCGCCUCCAUGCCCAUGAGUCCGAAGACCUGCCGACGGCCGCGCGAAGCA
rnacentral:ncRNA from 2 species